rnacentral:rRNA from 1 species
UGGGGAAUAUUGGACAAUGGGCGAAAGCCUGAUCCAGCCAUGCCGCGUGUGUGAAGAAGGUCUUCGGAUUGUAAAGCACUUUAAGUUGGGAGGAAGGGCAUUAACCUAAUACGUUAGUGUUUUGACGUUACCGACAGAAUAAGCACCGGCUAACUCUGUGCCAGCAGCCGCGGUAAUACAGAGGGUGCAAGCGUUAAUCGGAAUUACUGGGCGUAAAGCGCGCGUAGGUGGUUUGUUAAGUUGGAUGUGAAAUCCCCGGGCUCAACCUGGGAACUGCAUUCAAAACUGACUGACUAGAGUAUGGUAGAGGGUGGUGGAAUUUCCUGUGUAGCGGUGAAAUGCGUAGAUAUAGGAAGGAACACCAGUGGCGAAGGCGACCACCUGGACUAAUACUGACACUGAGGUGCGAAAGCGUGUGGAUCAAACA